UGCAGAGUAAACCGUUAGACAGUACCAGUGAAAGUAAAUCACAGCAGCUCCAUUUUGUGUCGAGGGGAAAAUAAACCAUUUCAGGAGUAAAAACACAGGUUUGAUUUAACACACCGAAGUUGGAGUGAAGUAAACGUGUGUCCUGCUGUAAUCUGGAGAAGGAAACAUGACCUCCAACAUGAGAGUGUCUGGAAAACUGGACAUAAAAAAAUAUGAGAGAAUGAUGGAGGGAAAGAGAUCAGACUCACCAGAACCCAGCUGUGUGUCCAUGAAGAGUGACGUGUCAAUGGAUCGUCCAAUUAACUUCAGAGACAGAGACAGUUCUACUGAUGUGAGGUCAGUAUAGUGAGGUGUUUUACGGCAGUGUUCCACCUGAUCAAACUCACUCGUCUCAUUAUGAAGCCCUUCAUGAGCUUUAUCAGGUGUUGAAGAAGUUAAAAAUCAAGGUAGGGCUGAAUCCUUAAAUAAAGUAUUCAUGGCUGAAUAUUCAAUACUCUCUCUUGAAUGUAAUCAGUGAUGUAUUCUGUUGCACUACUUUAAAAUAGUAACUUAUUCAGAUUAGUUUUUAGAAUGCUUUUAGAUUACAUAUUUUAAAGGCACAGUUGGAAGCAUUAUGAUGUGGUUUUGGUCAUUUUUGUCUCAUUUUGCUUCUUAUUAUUCAGUGAUUUGUGUUGGUAGCUUGCUGUUUCUUAUGCAAAGCCCUGCUAAAUAAUGAGUUUGUUAAUUACUUGUUCACUGCAUACAGUUAAAAGCUACGAAAUGGACUGACAAUACCAGAUAAAUCCCUUCACAUUCACACACAUUAGGUAUUAAGUAUUGUGUAAUAAAUUUAGCUUGUUUGCCUCGCACCUCCAGGGUUGGGGUUCAAAUCCUUCCUCUGCCAUGUAUGUGUCUCCCCAUGCUUCAGGGGUUUCCUUCCCAGUCCAAAGUCAUGUGUCGUAGGCUGACUGGCAUUUCCAAAUUGUCCAUAAUGUAUGAAUGGGUGUGUGAUUGUGCACUGCAAUUGGCACCAUAUCCAUGUCCUCACCUUGUGCCCUGUGUUCCCUGGGAUAGGCUCCAGGCUCCUCGUGACCCUGUGUAGGAUAAGCAGUACAGAGAAUGUAUGGGUGGAUGGAUGGAUGGAUGGAUCUUGGAUUGGUUAACAAUAUCUAUAGGAAUAAUCCGCGUAUGUUGUGAUCAGGUGUGUGGGAAGAUGCUUGAAGCAAGCUGGGGCUGCCUACCAAAAGUAAAAGUGUAAAUCUAUUUUUUUUCUCACAGCAUUAUAACUCGUCAGUCUUGAUCAUGACAACUGGUCUUAAC